GUGGCGCCCCCCUGUGGCCGCGGGGCUGAGCCGUGCCCCGCCGCCCGUGGGCUCCACGCAGAGAGACGCUGGUUCCUGCCGACAGGGCCUGUAAAGUUAUCGGGUUCCCUGUGCGAUGGCUCCACACAAA
ensembl:scaRNA small Cajal body-specific RNA 14